AUGGACGACCUCACCCCAUCGCCGGUGAGCGAGGUGCCGUUCCGCAUCAGCUUCUCCGGCCACGGCGGCCACCUCCGCCUCGACCCUACCCCCCACACGCCCAACCCCGUGCCCGACUUCGUCCUGCCGCCGGCCUACCCGCCCGAGAGUCCCAGCAGCGUGAAGGAGUACCUCGAGGCCAAUUACCUCAACCCCGAGCUCUACGUCCCCACCGCGGCCAAUGACGGCAGGGUGUGGGAUGUGGACUGGUUCGACCUCGCCAGGCCGCCUCUGGAGCCCUCUGCCCCGCGCACCAUGCUCGUCCCCGCCUGGGAGCCGCCUUUUCGCCGACGAUCGUCGUCGACGUCUGAGCAGCAAGUUUGGGACCCUGAGACUGUGCAGAUGGAGAUGAGCCAAGUGUUCGACUCGGGGACUGGGGGGAUGGUGCCACGGAUGCCAGGCCCGGCGAAGGACUUUGUGAGAGGGAGAGUCAACAGCCGGCCAUUCCGCCCGGGAGGCCUGCAGGAUGAUGCAGCUGAGGCGGCAGCAUUGGAGAAGGCAUUUCCAGAGGGUGCGCGGAAUGGUGAUUGGGUGCGUGAGCUUAUGAGUGGUGGCCCUGCUCUAAAUGCUCCGCCAGGGUUCCCCAAGGGAUUGGACUUGGGCCAGUUGAAGGAGUAUAACAGUCACUGGAAGUGUUUCCGGGAAGGGGAGCAUGUCGAGGAGCAACCUGCAUCUUCAUCAAAUGACUCAACGGAUAAGUACUCGGUGCAGUUUGAUGAUUUGUUCAAGAUAGCUUGGGAGGAAGAUGAUGUCAACAUUGUGCCACAUGAAGAUGAUGGUGAGCAAUUGGCUGGAGAUGAGGGAACCAACGAUGUCAAUGAACGAAAGGUUGAUAAGUUGCAAGAUGCUUCUGAAACUCUUACAAUGGCAGAAACUGACAAACAGGAAGCUAAUGUCAGAGGAGAUGUUUCUGAAGCUCAAACGGACUUGGAUAAAAUGUUAUCAUCUGAAGUGAAAGAUGCCCGCGGAGAAACAAGUGGAUUAGUUGAUGAUAAGCCAGCACAGGAGGGCACGGACUGGGCACUCGUUGUUGGGGAUAAUUCUAUUGUGACAAACUUCCACAAACUUGUUCCAGAUAUGGCAAUUGAAUAUCCCUUUGAAUUGGAUAAGUUCCAGAAGGAGGCUAUAUAUUAUCUUGAGAAGGGGGAAUCAGUCUUUGUGGCAGCCCAUACAUCAGCAGGGAAGACGGUUGUUGCAGAGUAUGCCUUUGCUUUAGCAUCAAAACAUUGCACCAGGGCUGUCUAUACUGCUCCCAUUAAGACUAUCAGCAACCAGAAAUACCGAGAUUUCUGCGGGAAGUUUGAUGUGGGACUUCUUACUGGAGAUGUUAGCAUCAGACCAGAGGCAACUUGCUUAAUUAUGACAACAGAAAUAUUGCGCUCAAUGCUCUACAGAGGUGCUGAUAUUAUACGGGAUAUUGAAUGGGUAAUUUUUGAUGAAGUGCAUUAUGUGAAUGAUGCCGAGAGAGGCGUAGUUUGGGAGGAAGUUAUUAUAAUGCUCCCGAAGCACAUUAACAUUGUCCUCCUUUCAGCAACGGUUCCGAAUACAGUUGAAUUUGCUGACUGGAUUGGCCGAACAAAACAGAAGAAAAUUCGUGUCACAUCGACCAACAAAAGGCCCGUUCCCCUCGAGCAUUGCCUGUUCUACUCUGGAGAGGUAUACAAAGUAUGUGAGAAGGAUAUAUUUCUUGCUCAAGGAUUUAGAGACGCCAAGGACGCUUUCAAAAUGAAAAAUGCAAACAAGUUUGGAGCGAAACCUGGAACAAAAUCAGGAACUCCUGCAGUACGUGCUGGAACUCAAGGCAGAAAUCCAGACACGUCUAGUAAAGGGAGAGAUCAGAAGCACCCAAAGCACCACCAAACCAAUUCAGGAGCAGCAGCAAUUCAGCAAAGCACCUCAGGGUCAAGGAGAUCUGAGUCUUCAUUCUGGAUGCCGCUUAUAAAUAACCUUUUGAAGAAAUCACUUGUGCCUGUGGUAAUUUUUUGCUUCUCAAAGAACAGGUGUGAUAGGUCAGCAGAUAGCAUGUUUGGUGCUGAUCUCACCAGUAGUUCUGAUAAAAGCGAAAUCCGUGUCUUCUGUGAUAAGGCCUUUUCGCGCCUCAAAGGAUCCGACAGGAACCUUCCUCAGGUCGUAGGAAUACAAAGCCUUCUGCGAAGAGGAAUUGGAGUUCACCAUGCUGGGCUUCUUCCUAUUGUGAAAGAAGUAGUUGAGAUGCUGUUUUGUCGCGGUGUGAUCAAGGUACUGUUUUCCACUGAGACAUUUGCAAUGGGUGUUAAUGCUCCUGCAAGAACGGUUGUGUUUGAUACUUUAAGGAAGUUUGAUGGGAAGGAACAUCGAAGGUUACUUCCAGGGGAGUAUAUUCAAAUGGCUGGACGAGCUGGUAGGAGAGGACUAGAUACCAUAGGUACAGUGAUAAUGAUGUGCCGCGAUGAAAUUCCUGAAGAAAGUGAUUUGAAAAAUCUUCUUGUUGGAAAACCAACUCGACUGGAAUCUCAGUUUCGACUAACAUACACUAUGAUACUACAUCUUCUACGUGUGGAGGAACUUAAGGUGGAGGACAUGCUUAAGAGAAGUUUCGCAGAAUUCCAUGCACAAAAGGAUUUGCCUCAGAAGGAAAAGCUGCUUCUGCAAAUGCUACGUCAACCUACAAAGACAAUCGAGUGCAUAAAAGGAGAGCCUUCUAUUGAAGAAUAUUACGAUAUGUUUCUAGAAGCCGAAGAACACAGGGAAUUUGUCACAGAAGCAAUUAUGCAGUUGCACACUACUCAGCAGUUCCUUGCGCCUGGAAGAUUGGUGGUUGUUAAAGCCAAAUCUGAUGAUGAUCACUUGCUUGGUGUAAUCGUGAAAAAUCCAUCCGCUACACUAAAGCAGUAUGUUGUUCUUGUACUGACCGGUGAUUGCACUUCAUCUGCACUAGCCCCUAAUUUAUCCAGUCAAAAUGAGAAGGGACCAGGGGAUUCUCAAGGAUAUUUUAUUAUCCCGCCGAAAGGAAAACGUGGCAUGGAUGAUGAUUUUUUCUCUUCCUCUAGAACACGAAAAAGUUCAGGUGUUAUCAAUAUAAAGCUACCAUACACGGGGGACGCAUCUGGAAUGGGUUUUGAAGUAAGAGCUGUGGAGAAUAAAGAGAUUAUUAGUAUAUGUACAAGCAAAAUAAAGAUUGAUCAAGUCGGACUCCUUGAAGACAUUAGCAAAACAGCUUACGCUAAAACAGUUCAAAUGCUUAUUAAAGAGCAGACAGAUGGAAAGUACCCUCCUGCGCUAGAUGCAAUAAAAGACCUAAAAAUGAAAGACAUGGAUCAAGUUAAAAGAUAUCAUGCACAUAACAACCUACUGGAACAAAUGUCUAAAAACAAGUGCCAUGGUUGUAUAAAAUUGAAGGAACAUAAGUCAAUGAUGAAGGAUCAAAAGGUGCACAAGGAUGAGCUGGAUCAACUGAAAUACCAAAUGUCUGAUGAGGCACUUCAGCAGAUGCCACAGUUUCAAGGCAGAAUCGAUGUACUAAAGGAGAUCCAUUACAUCGAUUCCGAUCUUGUUGUGCAACUUAAGGGCCGAGUGGCAUGUGAAAUGAACUCUGGUGAAGAGUUAAUAUCAACAGAGUGUUUAUUUGAGAAUCAGUUGGAUGAAUUAGAACCUGAAGAAGCUGUGGCUAUUAUGUCUGCAUUUGUUUUCCAACAACGGAACGCGUCAGAACCAUCUCUCACUCCGAAACUGGCUGAUGCCAAAAAGAGGCUCUAUGACACGGCAAUCAACUUAGGACAGCUCCAAAAGAGGCACGAGGUGCCUGUGGAUCCUGAAGAGUAUGCACGUGAUAAUCUCAAGUUUGGUCUUGUUGAGGUUGUCUACGAAUGGGCAAAGGGAACGCCUUUCGCGGACAUAUGUGAGCUGACAGAUGUAUCUGAAGGGCUGAUUGUAAGAACAAUUGUGCGGUUGGAUGAAACAUGUAGGGAGUUCAGGAAUGCGGCUUCCAUAAUGGGUAACUCUGCUUUGUACAAGAAAAUGGAGAUCGCGUCCAACGCAAUCAAGCGUGACAUUGUCUUUGCAGCAAGUUUGUAUGUCACAGGAAUAUGA
rnacentral:rRNA from 1 species